CCUACGGGAGGCAGCAGUGAGGAAUAUUGGUCAAUGGGCGCGAGCCUGAACCAGCCAAGUCGCGUGAGGGAUGAAGGUUCUAUGGAUCGUAAACCUCUUUUAUAAGGGCAUAAAGUGCGGGACGUGUCCCGGUUUGUAUGUACCUUAUGAAUAAGGAUCGGCUAACUCCGUGCCAGCAGCCGCGGUAAUACGGAGGAUCCGAGCGUUAUCCGGAUUUAUUGGGGUUAAAGGGUGCGUAGGCGGCCUUUUAAGUCAGCGGUGAAAGUCUGUGGCUCAACCAUAGAAUUGCCGUUGAAACUGGUAGGCUGGAGUAUGUUGGAGGAAGGCGGAAUGCGUGGUGUAGCGGUGAAAUGCUUAG
rnacentral:rRNA from 1 species